UACGUAGGGUGCGAGCGUUAAUCGGAAUUACUGGGCGUAAAGCGUGCGCAGGCGGUUCGCUAAGACCGAUGUGAAAUCCCCGGGCUUAACCUGGGAACUGCAUUGGUGACUGGCGGGCUAGAGUGUGGCAGAGGGGGGUAGAAUUCCACGUGUAGCAGUGAAAUGCGUAGAGAUGUGGAGGAAUACCGAUGGCGAAGGCAGCCCCCUGGGUCAAGAUUGACGCUCAUGCACGAAAGCGUGGGGAGCAAACAGG
rnacentral:rRNA from 1 species